AAUAUUGCGCAAUGGAGGAAACUCUGACGCAGCAACGCCGCGUGAAGGAUGACGGCCUUCGGGUUGUAAACCUCUUUGAGCGGGGACGAAGCUGACGGUACCCGAGGAACAAGCCACGCCUCACUACGCUCCAGCAGCCGCGGUAAUACGUAGGUGGCAAGCGUUGUCCGGAAUUACUGGGCGUAAAGGGCGUGUAGGCGGGUGAGCAAGUCAGAUGUGAAAUUCCAGGGCUUAACUCUGGCGCUGCAUCUGAAACUGUUCAUCUUGAGUGCUGGAGAGGAAAGUGGAAUUCCCAGUGUAGCGGUGAAAUGCGUAGAGAUUGGGAGGAACACCAGUGGCGAAGGCGGCUUUCUGGACAGUAACUGACGCUGAGGCGCGAAAGCGUGGGGAGCAAACAGG
rnacentral:rRNA from 1 species